AUUGAACGCUGGCGGCAUGCUUUACACAUGCAAGUCGAACGGUAACAGGCCGCAAGGUGCUGACGAGUGGCGAACGGGUGAGUAAUGCAUAGGAACGUGCCCAGUCGUGGGGGAUAACGCAGCGAAAGCUGCGCUAAUACCGCAUACGAUCUAUGGAUGAAAGCGGGGGACCAUAAGGCCUCGCGCGAUUGGAGCGGCCGAUGUCAGAUUAGGUAGUUGGUGGGGUAAAGGCUCACCAAGACAACGAUCUGUAGCUGGUCUGCGAGUACGACCAACAGCACUAGGAGUGAGUCAAUUCCCAGACUUGUACGGGAGGAAGCAGUGGGGAAUUUUGGACAGUGGGCGCAAGCCUGAUCCAGCUAUGCCGCGUGCAGGAAGAAGGCCUUCGAGUUGUAAGCUGCUUUUGUACGGAGCGAAAAGGCUUACACUAAUACUUGGGGCUCAUGACGGUACCGUAAGAAUAAGCACCGGCUAUCUUCGUGCCAGCCGCCGCGGUAACAC
rnacentral:rRNA from 1 species